AGACCGCAGCGUCGGCCGAGAGGACGCCGGGAUACUGGCCAGCUCCAAGUCGAAAGGAAGCGACGCAUGAGUUGUUUGGUGCGGUGGGUAGAUACCUCGAGUUUCUCCUCGCCCACCGUAGGCCCCGACCCCUAAAAAGGAAACUUUUGGGACGUCAGAGUGAGAGGAGAAAAGUGUCUUUUUAGUUUAGUUUUGUCAAACCUGAGGAUUCGUUUUUCAGUUUAGCCGGAGCUGUGCCGCAAACGUAGCUGCCGACAUCCCCACGACGCACCCAAGUGGUGGCCCGGAAGCUGGGGAUAGAAAAGUGGCCUCCCCGAAUGCCAGGCACACAGGCCUUACUACCAGAAGCUUGAGCUGGGAGCCUCGGCCGUCGCAUCUCUAAGGUGCAGCGAUACGGCCAACUUCCUUCCGCGAAGCCCUCAGGGUGGGCAACGGAGCUUUUCACCAGACUGAGGGACCGGGCGACCUGGCCGACCGGCGGCUCCUCACCGCCCCCUUGGGGAUUUCUUGAUAAUUCUUUGCCACGAUGCGGGCGGAUGUUGUGGAGCUACUGUUUGUAGAUCGCAGUAGCGUGACAGCACUUAAUCAUGACUACUAAAUCCUCAGAAGUCGAAAAAGCAAGUCCAUACAGAAUAGUUUGACCCUAAUUAAAUUGCGCUUACAAGAUACAGUUUGUUUACUGGGACUUUGGCUAGGUCCCAUCCCGUCUCUGCCUCAGAGUGGUGGUUGCUCUUAGCACCAAGGAAAUACCAGCUUGACAUUUGACUCUAGGAAGCACAGGCCCAAAAGAAGAGGCCCAAGGAGGGACAUUCUUCUUUCCCUUUCCUACCUACAGUUUCUCAAACCAAGUGUCAGAUGGAAAGCAAGGGGUGGUAUCAUCGUAAUUAUACAGUUGACCAUAGAAAAUAAAUUUCAAUCUCAAAGUAAA
ensembl:lncRNA novel transcript